rnacentral:rRNA from 1 species
GGACAGAAUACUGACACUCAGAUGCGAAAGCGUGGGGAGCAAAACAGGAUUAGAUACCCUGGUAGUCCACGCCGUAAACGAUGUCUACUUGGAGGUUGUGGCCUUGAGCCGUGGCUUUCGGAGCUAACGCGUUAAGUAGACCGCCUGGGGAGUACGGUCGCAAGAUUAAAACUCAAAUGAAUUGACGGGGGCCCGCACAAGCGGUGGAGCAUGUGGUUUAAUUCGAUGCAACGCGAAGAACCUUACCUACUCUUGACAUCUACAGAAGCCAGCGGAGACGCAGGUGUGCCUUCGGGAACUGUAAGACAGGUGCUGCAUGGCUGUCGUCAGCUCGUGUUGUGAAAUGUUGGGUUAAGUCCCGCAACGAGCGCAACCCUUAUCCUUGUUUGCCAGCACUUCGGGUGGGAACUCCAGGGAGACUGCCGGUGAUAAACCGGAGGAAGGUGGGGACGACGUCAAGUCAUCAUGGCCCUUACGAGUAGGGCUACACACGUGCUACAAUGGCGCAUACAGAGGGCGGCCAACUUGCGAAAGUGAGCGAAUCCCAAAAAGUGCGUCGUAGUCCGGAUUGGAGUCUGCAACUCGACUCCAUGAAGUCGGAAUCGCUAGUAAUCGUGGAUCAGAAUGCCACGGUGAAUACGUUCCCGGGCCUUGUACACACCGCCCGUCACACCAUGGGAGUGGGCUGCAAAAGAAGUGGGUAGUUUAACCUUCGGGAGGACGCUCACCACUUUGUGGUUCAUGACUGGGGUGAAGUCGUAACAAGGUAACCG